rnacentral:lncRNA from 1 species
UUACCAAUAAUUAAAAACUCAAGACUUGAGAGCUCUCAAACAUUUUAAUACAGUGAGUAUCAAUGCUAGAACUUCCUAAUGUUUAAUAUAUUCAAGCUUAAAAAUGUUAUACAAUGGGCAAAUUUCAAAUUUUCCAACAUGUUAAUGUUCUUCUAAAAAAAAAAAUAACACCUAAAUACGUUAUAGACAUAAGUUACACUUCCCAUAUAUAGUUUACAUGUACAAAUAAGCUCUCUUAAUUAUAUGAAUCCAAACAUAAACAAGAAAAUAAAAUUCAAACCAAUAUUAACUAAAACAUCAUGUUAGUGACCUGAACCUCUUCUACUUGGCCCUGAAGUCAUGGUAUGAACUUGGUUAUUAUCAACCAAAAUCCUGUUUGUCAUCAUCUUAUACCCUUUGUUGUUGACUUUUUCUAUUAUCAUUGAAGCCUUGAGAUGUUGAAACUCUUUGAUGUGUUCGUGAGUUGUAUUUUUUGUCUUUGUUUGUGAUUGAAGGAUUCUAGAGUUUACAAAAUAAGGCUUUGUGGUAGCAACCACUGUGAAAAAGACUAGAAGUAAAACAGAGAACCUCAUUUUUUUGUUGUUGUUGGUGCAACCAACACUAUUGGUGAUGAAGUAAGUUGAAGUGUUUUAUUGACGAAAAUAAAGGGGUAGAGCUAAAAAUAAAAUGAUUGGUUUGGCAUCUCCUAAGAGAAGAGAGUCAAAGAGGCUUUACAUAUUAAUUAAGGAAGGGUAUAUGGAAGGCCAAAAUGGACGGUUAAGGGCUAACAAGUGUGGAACCUAUUGAAGAGAGUUGUUAAAAUAAAAUUGUUUUUACGGUACUCUUUUUCUUUUUUAAUAAAAGAC